CAUAGAGAAAUUACUGAAUUUAUUUUACUCUUCCUAUUUAUCAGUUUUCUUCUGAAGUAGUUGCAGUUCUUAAAAGGCAAAAGAAGGGUAAGGGAAAGUCUGUAAGAAAAAGAGUGAUGUCGAAGUUUUAAGCAUUCGGACAUAAAGAAAAGGUCUUUUCUCUGUCUUUUGAGACUUAAAGGCAAUGAAUGGUAGGUGGAUAUGAUUCUCCUCAUUUUUAUAGCUAUUGUUUAACUACUACAGUGUUUGUAAAAUGCAUUAAAAAAAUCUUUAUAAUUCUCUUAAGCAGCUUAAAUCCCUUUUCACUUUCCCCAGGCAAAACCUGAUUCACUUGCAUGUUUUUGGGCUCUGACCUUCACAGCACUGAUCUCCCAACAGUAGUAGCCAGUUUCUUAUUCUUUAAGUGCUGGAGGAAUCAUGAAAAAUUCAGACACUGGGUUUCCCUGAGACCAAUCUGGUGGCUUUGUCUUUGUGCUAACUGCUGCUUUCUAUGCAUCAUUCAAAAGGUACAUACUGUUGUCAGCCCCUGAACUGCUACUUGGUGUUAAACAUGAAUAUUUGUAGCUUAGCAAGGGACUAAAUUUAAAAAAAUUAAUAUUUGACAACCUUUGAGAAGGCAUUACUGGCAUGAAACCAUACGAAUGAAAGACUGUAUUUGUGAAAAAUGGAAACUUUCUUCACUGGGGCAGUUUUAAACAUUAUGAGAUCUGUUUCAAAACAGCUCUGGUUGUGGGACUUUCUUCCUGAUGCACAGAUUAUGAUUGUACCAAAGAAAAUACUGUAGUAGAUUUAUUUUUUCCUGUGUACUGCAGGGGGAAAUUCAUUCUGUGCAUGUGCCACUAAUCCUAUCCGACCAGAAAGCAGAGAAAGAUGGCGUAUGGCUUAUUCUGUCUACACAUCAGAGAUAUAUCCAAUGGUAAAAUUGCCUUUUUCCACAUUUCUUAAUUAGAAAUAGAAACGGCUUCUGCUAAUAGAAUCUCUUAUUAAUAACAAAAGGAAUUGCUAGCUCUCUAGUUCAAGUGGCAUAUCUGCAUAACUUAUAGCCUUAAGAGCUUGUAGAGUCACUCACACUCCUGGCAGAAUGCCUUUUACUCUCCCAUAUUAAUGAGUUGUUCUAAAUUUAGUCUACUGUGACAAACUAAUAUUAAUACAGUAUUUUAUGGCCCAGAGCAUUGUUAAUGCAUAAGAAUGAAACACUGAAUCAGAAGAAGGGGAAAGGAGGCAAGAUUACUUAGUAUGAUUGUCAAGAUAUAAGAUAAUCCAACUAUGUAGAUAUUAAGACUUAAAUAUAAUACUCUGCUUAUAGAUUUAUAUUAUGUGAAACAUUUUCUAUUAUUUUAAAUCCUUGCAGUAUUAGUUUCUUAUUUUCAAGGGUUUAUAACUCGGCCAUAAAAAUUCACUCUGGGCUGAAGCUUGGCAUACGAGGUCUUAACCUGGGAGCAUUUUCUUAAGUAAAUUUUCAAACAAAACUGUAUUUGUCUUUGAUAAAAGUGGGACAACAGUCAACAUAUGACUAUAUGUCAUUUUCAUGACAGGUCUCAGAAGACAAUGGAGACUAAUAAGCAAAGCCAAGAAGAGUCUGUAAUAAGAUUUAAUUGCUGGUUUUGUAUUAUUUUCUUUUUUUUAUUUGCAGGGUAUUAACAACAUAUUUGGCAGGUAGUAGCUCUUUAGAUGUCGGAAUUUCUUCUACUGAAGUCAAAGGGAGUUCUGUCACUCUUUGAAGGGGAAGUAGGAUACAGUACUCUAUUUGGUAGCUAUUUUACAGUGAUGAUUUUACUAUCUUAGUCUUUAUCUAAAUAGAUAUUUGCAUGACUAUUAUUUAGAUAUCAUUUUGCAGGAGAAAAAGACUUCCUGCAGAAUUUUUAUAUGAUUUUAAUAGCUGUGUAUUAUAAACAUGCAUGCGCAUACUUACAAAUACAUUUCAUCUUUGCAACCUAAAGCUGUGUCUGAAUAGAGUUAAACCAACUACUUAUGUAACUUAAGAAGAAGAAGAGCAUAUGACCCUAACUCAUGGGAGGAACUGUGCUCCUAACUAUGCCAAGUAUGUAUCAUGCCUGCUAGAAUCCUGCCAGUUGUAAGAUGUACCAUGGAUUUUCAUUGUAAACAGUAAGCAACAGACAGCAGCUGAGCAGAUGUGAAAGCAUAAGGUCAGCAAUGAAUUGUGUAAGGUGCCUGACUACAUCCACCAUUACUGAAAAUCCACCUUAUAUGAGGAGGGAUGGUGAAGUUUUUUGACUAGCUAAUGGCAUAACGUUAGAGGUUUUUUACAAAUAAACUUUCGAAAUGGUAUGCAAAAAGUAACUUUUGCUGUACUUUGGAUCUCUGACCAAAACAUUCGGGAGAUAGAAUUUAACCCUGAAUUGGCUUCUCUUUUCUCAGAUUCAUAUGGAUUAGGAAGUUCUAUCUCCAGUGUUUACAGGGAUAAACAGGUUAGUUAAGGAGUCUUGAGUAAAUGUAAAACUUGAAAAGAAAGGCCUGGGAUGUGCAAUUUCAGUGCACAGUAGGUCUUGGAGGAAGACAGUUCUCUCAACCUCAUUUGGGUCAUGCUCCAGACCUGUCAGGAUGGAAGCUGUCUUUGUAUAGGUGGAGAAAUGUUCCAUUUGACACUAUUCUCAAGGAAAUAUUUAGAAAAAUGAAUCUACUUUAUGGCUGCUGGUGUGAAUCUAACCCAGAUUAGUUAAAUUGCAUCCAGUGCUGUUAUGAUAUGCUCCUUUGAAACAUGAAAAGUAUCUGAAUGCUUGGUGGUGGGAUAGGAACUCUAAUCAGUGUUUCUGUGAGCAGUGACAUAACUUGUAAUUGGUGCCAUUCAGGAAAGAACAAUCUAAUUGCAGUGAAGUUUCCAUGGAUGGGGAACUUACAGAAUCAGCAGGUGUCUGGCUAGCACAGAAGCCCAGCACAAACUGGGUUGUUAACUUUUGUGCUGGUCAGAUAAGAAAAUUUUCUACACAUAAGCAAAUGUGUAGAAAAUAGCAGAGGAAUUAGGAGCCCUUGCUCUGCAGCUCUUUCUGCAGUGCCCCACACUCCAGGAGGAGGGUGAACAUUGGAGUUGGGUGCAUGGUUCUGCCCAGGGCCCCCCUGUCAAACUGAUGACGCUAAGUUUCAUGGGCAGGGCAGAUCCAUGCCUGACUGGGCAGGAGGGAAUAGCAGAAGUUACGUGUAAGUGACACAGCUUGGUUAUCAAGAGAGCAGUGGUAGGGGGCUGUAGCUCACUGGAGGCAGAUUUUAACGAACUGCUUCACUGACUGGGCAGAAUCAUUUCCAGCACAGCUCUCGUUUUGGCACUGACUCAGUCUCCAUAAGACCUCUCUGUGCUGACAGAGAACUACAGGCUAGAAAUUAUCUAAAACUGAUGUAAUUUGGAAUAAAAUCACAAGGACUGGCACUAGGGAUUAGUUGCCUUGCAUAUUGUGUCGCUCAAGUUGUACCCAGCCACUUAGGUGGGUGAGAUGCAGCCAAGGUUUGUUGCAUUCUAUCCCACAGUGUUGGGAGUCUUUCUGCAAGAGCAAAGUUCUGUUUAUUCAGGUUUGCUUCAUUGUGCAGGAUGCCGGUACUUUCCACAUUAUACAAAUUAUGGAGUUCAUUAAUCUCCAUAUGCUAUAAUGAAGUCUGUUUAAGUCUACAGUGCAGUCUAUGGAUUCCUUUUAGUGGGUGUUGGGGGAGCAAUGGAUCAUUUUUUACCUUGCUUUCCCUGCCAGUACUAGGUCUUUACCAAGCACAGCUAAUGAUCCAGCCAGCCAUCUUUGUCCCUGAAUCCUGGUCAUAUACACAUUCACUGGAGAGCAAACAAACUGUCGUUCUGGGGAAGGAGCGUUACUGAGAACUCUUUUGUUGCCUAGAAGGCAGGAUGAAAGAAAGGAAAAUCCAGUCUUCUGUCAAAACUGAAAGUGAUUCCCGUACUUGCUUUACACUCUUACAGAAACGUAAAAUAGGUUAUUGAAACUUCAUGUAUUUAGAUAGUAUUUUGGUCUGUCUUUGGUUUUUGUGUCCUGCUAGCUUUAAUUCCAGUCAUGCAGCUGUGUUCUUGCAUACCCUCAUGAAAAAUCCCUUCAACAGAGUCAUGUCAGAGGUCUAAGGACUGAGUGGCCCGUGGAGGUUGUGAAUGAACAGUCAUUGUCAGUGCAGUGUUUCUGUGCCUCACCUUCAAUAGUUAUUUGCAUGAUACAAAGCCUGGAUCUGCACCUAGCAGAUAUAUUUUACGUGAUAGUGAUUUAUAUUCUGCAGGAAAUAAUCUGAACAGAAACUUAAAUUUUCCAUUUUCGUACAUAAAAUUUUCUCCCUGUUUCUCCUAGUUUGUUGAUUUUGUUGUUGGUUGCUUUUUUUCACCAUUUAUGGCUUUUUUCAGUCGCAGAUAGAAGGAUAAAAUCAAAGGUGUCACACCAAUAGUUUCCAAAAUUUGCCCUGCCUUCAUGCAUCUCUAUUGGCUAGUAUUUCAUUUGAGAAGCUUGAAAGAAGACUAUUUUUCAAGAGUUAAGUGCCAAGCAUCUUCUAAAAGGCAGACCUCUCAAAGCUGUAUGAGGUAACCACUCAGAACAGGAUGCCCUUAGAUUUGCCAGCUCUUCUGAAGACUUGCCAUUCUUUGGCAUUGUUUUCCUUUGCAGUGAAAAUCCUCAGCAUGUUGGUAUUGUGGAAGAAAAAAAAAUUCAAGCAGCUGCCAAGAUCUGGCUAUUUCCCAUGCAUAGAAUGCUGAUACCUCCCAUCUUAUGAAUCAAUAUGUUCCUAAGAUGGAUUGAAGGAUGAGGCUUCAAGCUAAUUCAUAUGACUGCCUAUCCACUGUAGUGGGCAGAGUAUCUAUUUGGUAGCUGUGACUGUAAAAGUAAUUUUUAAUGUUACAUGUUUUAUUUCAUGUACCCUCAAUAAAACACAAGUGUUUUAUUUUUCAGGAAAACACUGGAAGGCACAGCCCUAAAGAAAUGUUUCCAUAUGACCCUAUUACACACAGUCUUUUGGACUGCAGUGAUAAGUGGUGGGUUAUUCUUUUAUUGCUGAAAGAACUUAUUAAGCAUAUGCAAUAUGCAAAAGGAGAAAAGCUGAGCCUUAGAGCAUAUUACCAGUGUGCACUUACAAGAAAAUUAUCCCAUGAAAAACAAACCCCUCUACUUAAAUGCUCCUCAUAAACUAUAAGGCAACUAAUUCUACCUUAAUGGGUGAAAUUACUACUUGAUGGAGAAAUAAAACCAAUACUAUUAAAGUAUUGAGCUAGUGCAAAUGUUAACAGGUUGGAAUCUAUUAAAUGUGUGUUAUUGUGGGAGCUAGAGAGGCUCAGUUUGUGUUGGUGGUUUUUUUUUAAUUAUGGUUUAUGAGAAUUUCCAUUCUUUUUUUCUGAGUCACUUUGUCAGUGCAGUUCUUUUCAUCGAUUGGUAAGAAUCAGAAACUUAAAUUUUGUGUAGGGCAGUGAAGCACGGGAGAUAGCCCUUUCAUGAGGAAAAAUUAUAUGAAUCAAACGUGGUGGUAGACAUUUUUCACUGCACACUCGGGGUUUUGAUACAAUGCCAUUGAACUCUGUUAUCUUGCAGGCUAAUUUAAGGUUCAGAAUUUAAUUCCAAACAGGCUACUUGUAUGAAGAUGGAGAGUCUCAACAGUGGUGAAACAUAUCUUUAAAACUUGACAUGCAAAAUACAAAUAUCUGACGGAAAGAUGCUGGAGAUGCGAAGGAUUCAGAAUACAUGGUUAAAUGGCCUUGGCUUAGGUGAACUCUUUGUAAAUGACAUCUUUGCUGGGAUUCUGUCUGCAUGGCCAAGGUGGAAACCUGAUCCUGAGGAUACAUGUAUGCAGCCUGCAACAAAUGUGCCAAGGACACUCCUGGCUCAGAAGCUGAGCUGUGGUUAAUCACAUUGCACCUCUUGUGGUUCAGACACCGGCUGCCAAGUGUGUGGGCUGACAACUGGUUUAGAGAUGUUUGGAGAACUUAUUUACGUGUAGUGUAAGAUAUCUGCUUCUUCGGUCCUCAUUGCAUGGUUCUGUCUGGGUAAGUGAUGCCUCUGCUCAAGACAUGCCACAAUAAAGGAAGAGGAAGGAACCAUU